CCUACGGGGGGCAGCAGUAAGGAAUAUUGGACAAUGGCGGAGACGCUGAUCCAGCUAUCCCGCGUGCAGGAUGACGGCCCUACGGGUUGUAAACUGCUUUAGACUGGGGCGAAAAAGUGGGAUUUAUCCUACAUUGACGGUACCAGUAAAAUAAGCACCGGCUAACUCCGUGCCAGCAGCCGCGGUAAUACGGAGGGUGCCAGCGUUACUCGGAAUCACUGGGUCGUAGGGGUGCGGUUAAGUCUUGUUAGAAAGGCCAUGGCUCAACUAUGGGAUUGCUUUUGAUACUGACGAGCUUGGAUUAGGACGAGGUUGGCGGAAUGUGGCAAGUAGCGGUGAAAUGCAUAGAUAUGCCAUAGAAUACCGAUUGCGAAGGCAGCUGACUAGACCUAUAUUGACGCUGAGGCACGAAAGCGUGGGGAGCGAACAGGAUUAGAUACCCUUGUAGUC
rnacentral:rRNA from 1 species